AACGAACGCUGGCGGCAGGCUUAACACAUGCACGUCGAACGCCCCGCAAGGGGAGUGGCAGACGGGUGAGUAACGCGUGGGAACAUACCCUUUUCUACGGAAUAGCUCUGGGAAACUGGAAUUAAUACCGUAUACGCCCUACGGGGGAAAGAUUUAUCGGGGAAGGAUUGGCCCGCGUUGGAUUAGCUAGUUGGUGGGGUAAAGGCGUACCAAGGUGACGCUCCAUAGCUGGUCUGAGAGGAUGAUCAGCCACAUUGGGACUGAGACAUGGCCCAAACUCCUACGGGAGGCAGCAGUGGGGAAUAGUGGAGAAUGGGCGCAAGCCUGAUCCAGCCAUGCCUCGUGAGUGAUGAAGGCCUUAGGGUUGUAAAGCUCUUGCGCCGAUGAAGAUAAUGACGGUAGUCGGAGAAGAAGCCCCGGCUAACUUCGUGCCAGCCGCCGCGGUAAUAC
rnacentral:rRNA from 1 species